rnacentral:rRNA from 1 species
UUAAUUAAGAGUUUAAUGUUGGCUCUGAAUGAACGCUGUCUAGAAGCAUUACACAUGCAAAUCGAACGUAUAAGACACGUGGUGUACGGGUGAGUAAAAAUAGAAAUCUACCCAUUAGCAGGGUUAAAUACCCAAUAAAACAAAGUGAAUUAACGCUAAUGGAUGAGUCUAGUAAGGGGGAGGUAGUUGUGGAGAUAAUCGCUUCCCAAGCCUAAGAACCCUAGUCAAGUUUGAAAGAACCUCUGACCACAUUGGCUCUGAAACAACAGCCAAGAUUUUCAUCAAGAAAAUCCAGCAGUGGGGAAUAUUGGUCAAUGAUCGCAAGAUUGAACCAGCUAUCUAGAAGAAUUAUAAUUAUUCUAAGCAAAGAGAGGAUUAUGACGUUAUCUUUGUAAAAGUCUCGACCCAAUCUCGUGCCAGCAGUCGCGGUAAAACGAGUGAGGCAAGCGUUAUUCAUCAUUAUUAGGUCUAAAGGGUGAGUAGGUGGUUUAUGGAAACUAGAGUCGAAUAGAAGAAUAAAGAAUUUUGGGAGUAGAGAUGAAAUUCUAUGAUACUCAUAGGACUGCUAAAGGCGAAAGCAUUAUUCUAAUUAACGACUGACACUGAGGUACGAAAGCAUAAGUAGCGAAAAGGAUUAGAUACCCUUGUAGUUUAUGCUGUAAACGAUGAAUGCUAGAGGUUAGAAUUCUAUUAAUUUUAGUCUCUAAGUGAAGAUUAUAAGCAUUCCACCUGGGAAGUACUGUCGCAAGGCUGAAACUCAAAACAUUAGACGGUCACAGAGAUCAGCAGUGAAGCAUGUUGUUUAAUUCGAUAACCCACGAUAAAUCUUACCACUUCUUGCAUAGUAUAUAUAUAUAUAUAUAUAUUACAGGUGUUGCAUGGCUGUCUUUAGUUCGUGUUGUGAAAUGUUAGGUUAAUUCCGAAAACGAACGCAACCCUUAUCUUUAAUUUAAUUACUUAAAGAAGUAUCCUUCAAUAAGAAGGAAUAAUUAGGAUGAAGACAAGUCCUCAUGACCCUAAUGGAGUGGGCUACAGACGUGCCACAAUGAUUUCUACAAUAGGAAGCAAAGAUUUAAAAGUCAGAGCUAAUCCCUGAAAGGAAAUAUAAGUACGGAUAAGAAUCUGGAACUCGAUUCUUUGAAGCAGGAAUUGCUAGUAAUCGUCCAUCAGCAUGGGACGGUGAAACGAACAUCUGUGAUGUACUAACUACUCGUCAAGCGCAGAAAUUGUUAGGAAAUAUCAAGUUUUAUACGUCUAUUUUCUAGAGAUUUGUGCUAAGUCGAAAUAAGGUAGCUGUAGGGGAACCUGUAGCUGAAUUAUUUAAUCU